rnacentral:lncRNA from 1 species
GGAAGGGUAGUAAGCACAGGGAAGGGUAGUAAGCACAGGGAAGGGUAGUAAGCACAGGGAAGGGUAGUAAGCACAGGGAAGGGUAGUAAGCACAGGGAAGGGUAGUAAGCACAGGGAAGGGUAGUAAGCACAGGGAAGGGUAGUAAGCACAGGGUACUUACAGGGUAUUGGUGGUGUUGUAGCUCAUAGUGCAUGCAUGGUACCCAGACUGUAACCAUACUGUAUCUAGUGCCAUUCCAGGACCAAAGGUCCCAACUUUCACUAAUUUAUCAUUGAUUACAUUUCCUGGAGGAGGUUGAGCCUGCAGGGUAGGAUCGUAUGUAUUUCGAUGUCAAAACUGGAUUAUAUUAAGACUGUCAAUGGAAUGACAGGUCUCUCAUCUGAUCCCCCCUCCUCCCCUCUUCAGCCCUCUACACUCCCUCCCCUCUAAAGCCAACUACACUGCCUCCCGUAUCCCCCCCCACACCCACUACACUGCCUCCCGUCUCUCCCCCCCACACCCACUACACUGCCUCCCCUCUCUCCCCUCCACAGCACUGCCUCCCCUCUCUCCCCUCCACAGCACUGCCUCCCCUCUCUCCCCUCCACAGCACUGCCUCCCCUCUCUCCCCUCCACAGCACUGCCUCCCCUCUCUCCCCUCCACAGCACUGCCUCCCCUUCUUCCCCUCUACAGCCCACUACACUGCCUCCCCUCUACAGCCCACUACACUGCCUCCCCUCUACAGCCCACUACACUGCCUCCCCUCUACAGCCCACUACACUGCCUCCCCUCUACACUGCCUCCCCACUACACUGCCUCUCCUCUACAGCCCACUACACUGCCUCCCCUCUACAGCCCACUACACUGCCUCCCCUCUACAGCCCACUACACUGCCUCCCCUCUACAUCCCACUACACUGCCUCCCCUCUACAUCCCACUACACUGCCUCUCCUCUACAUCCCACUACACUGCCUCCCCUCUACAUCCCACUACACUGCCUCCCCUCUACAUCCCACUACACUGCCUCCCCUCUACAGCCCACUACACUGCCUCCCCUCUACAGCCCACUACACUGCCUCCCCUCCCCUGGGUUCUGGUCCAUCUGCCCCAGGUAUCAGACAGUGACUCUGCUCAGAACCUGUGUAAGUAGCUACACUUGCCAGUUACACCUUACUGUGGUGGUCCAGCUCCAGAAAGCACUGCAUAUAGUAUCACCAAUUUUUAUAUGUGGCUCCCAUAUUUAAACGUGUGUACAACUUGACUCUAUGCAUCUAAUCAGUACCGUUUCUAUGUAGAUCAGUCGGUUUUCAGCAGUCCUAUAAUGUUUACAUUGUGAGUUAUCAGCACAAAGUGUUUUUGUCGAGACGUGUAAAUGUUGUUUUGAAACGGGCCAGGUUCUGGGGCAGUAGCUAGUAGUGGCUAAACAACAUGCAGAGCAGUGUCAACAGACUCAGCGUCAACAGACUCAGCGUAGAGAGGAUCAACAACAGACUCUGUAUAUUGUCAUUGUAAAUAGUACUUCUGUACCAAACAUAUAUGGUUCAAUAUCUAUAGAAAUACAUACACUGAAUGAAGUGAAGCUGCUGCUACUUAGUCAACUUGAAUCCUGCUGUGGCUGGGUAGUGGAUGGACAUCCAUUUGAACUUUGAACUCCAAUGGGAGAUGGGAUAGGAGUCUAUAGGCUACGAAUACACAGCCUCACAGACUAUUGUAUUGUCACUACGUUAACGUACAGGUAUAGCAACUGUAGCAAGGAAUGCGAAUGGCACAAUAUCUUAUUUAUUGCUGUUGACAAUGAUACUGAGUACAUUCGGUCACCGAGGCCAUUUCCUUUCAGACAGACAUUUGGUGUCUGUGCGUUGAGGUAAAAAGGAAACCUCACCCUUUCAGGUUGGCAUGUAUGUAGUACAGACAGGCACAGAGGCAUGAUACAGAGAUAUAGAAGAAGCACAAUGACAACCAGACAGGCACGCAUGCACUGUCACUGACGCCCACACAGGCAGACACAAUGGUCGUGUUCAAGAGCAACGAUUGAUCCACAAGUAAUAAUGAAUAGUUCAUUAGGAUGAGGUGAUUUGUAGAUCAGUCAGUCUGCAGUCACCGACUGCAGUGUAGUCAAUCUUGAACACGAGCCCACCGUGAUGCCAGCCUGUACAUAGGAAGCAGUGCAUGAUGGGAAAAAACGUCUUUCUUGUGCCAGCACGCGUUUAUUUGACGUUAUAUUUUCCAAUUGUUGUCUUCAUUUAUUUUGAUAUUUUAGUAUUAUUUUCUAUUUUUCAGAGGUUUGUGAAUAUAUAAAUAUGUAUUACUGAUGAUGUGUAGUGGUACAAAGUACUCGCAUGAGAUAAUUUUUUUAUACUGAAGAUGUUUCUAAUUUUUUUUUAUUCUGGUUGUUCUUAUUGAGGGUUGAGGUGGGGGACUGCAGCAUUGCUGUGUUUCUGCUUCCAAUAAAAUGUUAGAGAAAAUCUGAACUCUUUUUCAUAGUGUUCAUUAUGGAUCAGAGUGAAAAACAUGUUAAGUUACCAUUAUACAAUUAUAAAUUCUGAUAUCUGGAACUUAUUACCAAUUAAAAAAAUAUAUUAAGCACACACUUCCAACGCACAACAUUUCCCAGUGGAAAACUACACAUGGGUAGGGAUUGAAGUAUGUGGGAUGCAUCAAAUUGGGAAAUGUCAAUCAGCAGACAGGCAAUACUGUAAUCUUAGUACAAAUAAGGAAAUCUUUGUGUCCAAAAUCCAUACUCUGGAACAGAUGAGAAAGAAUCCAUACGGCCAUUCUAACAGCACAAUAACCCUCACAGGAAGAGCAGCAGUAAGAGUCCUAUACUUGUGCUACUGAAAGAAUGCCUGAUACAGAAUACUAAUGCCUAAUCAAAAAUGACAUGUAUUAUUCACUUACAAUUACUUUGAUAUACUGUAUAGCCUGCAGGAAAAAGACCCGAGGUAGCAAUACCAAAACUUUAAAAAAGAGUGUAAUCCUCU